GUUCUCCAAUAGGCUGCACUAUGUGCUAUCCUGACAUCUAGUACUGCUGAGAUCCUGCAUUCAGUGAUAUCCCUGCCUUUCCUGUUCCCUUUCUCCACUGAACCCCCCCAGUCCAUGCUUACUGUUCUCAGCUUGACAGUUCUCUCACUGUCUCUGAACCUCUCUGUCAGCAAGAAGCAGUGCCAGGGAUUCUUGCCCUGUGUCUUGAGUCUUUGAUUUCUGGGACAUGGAUUUACUUUCUCUGUGUUUUAGGAGCCUCUUUGAAAUCGAGUGUCUGUGACAUUAACCACCGUGCAGUCUGGACUGUAGAACAGCUGUGUGACUCAGUUACCAAGCUGAGGUGACUUUUACCCUGCUUUACUAUGAGAGCAGCCACUCCUGGGCGGUAUACCAAUGGGCUAAGGCGAUCCACCAUAGCGUAAGGGCGUAUCCAUUUUGAUUCUAACAGAUAGGAGUGAGGACUCUAACCCUCCCCCUUAUGGCCCAGCACUUCUAGGACUGGGGGUCAGGUGUGGCAGGUUUGUAGACAUUUUGGUGGUGCUCAGAAUCUGUCUCCCAGACUCCACCCCCCACCUGUCAAUGGCUCUGGGAGGGAGUUUGGGUGG